UUAUUUUCAUUACACAUGUCUCAAAUUACAUAAAGGUGGCUUGUAUUUAUCAUUCUGGCCAAAGCUGAUUGACAAAUACUUGUUCACAAAAUUUUAUUGUUCUUGUCCAUUUCUGGCCAAAGCUGAUAUGGACUAGAUCAAUAAAAGAUGUACAUAGAGACAUGUAAUUUUAAUUAAGUAUGGCUUAUAUUUGUCAUUCUGGCCAAAGCUGAUUGAUGAAUAUCUGACCACAAAAUUUUGCUGCUCUUGUCCAUUUCUGGCCAAAGCUGAUGUGGACUAGAUCAGUAAAAGAAGAUUAAAGUCAAAUAAAGUGUGACUUAUAUUUGUUAUUCUGGCCAAAGCUGAUUAAUGAAUACUUGUUCACAGAAUUUUAUUGUUUCUAUCUACUUCUGGCCAAAGCUGAUGUGGAUUGGAUCAAUAAAAGAAGUUAAUGAUCUGGGAAAAUCUUAAUACAUGAAUGGCUUAUGGAUCCUUUCUUAUAUAUAUAAGGCCACAAGAAUAAUUGAUGUAUUAUUGAGGAAUUAUGCUAAAAGCAAAAGGUUCGAGUAAACACAAGAGAAUAUUAACAACUAAUGUUUACGCUUCCGCAAAUAAAUGCUUCUGAUUAAAGUGUUCUUGAGACUUGAUAAAUUUUAUGAUUAUAUAUGUGACUUAUGACUAUAUUAUGACCAAAGCUGUUUAUAGCCAUGUGUCAUUAUUUAAUUCCCAGAUCAAUUAAGUUUCCAAGUCUCAAGCAUGAUCAAAGUUGAUUAUAUUGAUAUAACAUUCCCUGAGUAUUAAUAUUUGCAUAAGAAAUUUUAUGCCUAUAAUAAUAAGAUGAAGAAUAAUUAAUAUUUAUUUUAUGUUAAGCUCUACUUUGUUUUAGCCCAAAGGUGAUGCAAGGUAGAAUGAUUAAAUAUUGUCAAAAUUAUCAAUUAAAGUAUCCCUAUUGAUGAUAUUUUGAAUUUAGCCAUAAUUUUCUUGGCUGUUUUAAGUACCCUCAAUAAGAAAUAGACUAAAUACAUAAGAAUACAUUGUUCAUGAGGUCAUUAAUUAUGAUUGCAUGGAUAAACACAAUAAGCUCCUAUUAGAGAAGCCUUGCUAAUUAAGAAAUUGAUAAGAAAUCUAAUGGAUUUCUUGUCUAUUAAUAUCUAAUGGGAGCAAUCUAAAGAAAUCUAUCUUAUGAUCAAUGCCAGUAAAGAUCUGGGGGAGUAAAUCCCUUGGUACAAUUAUGUUGUAAUUUCUCUGGCAAUAAUGGAGAAGUAAUUCUCAAAGCCUAAAGAUCAUAAGAAUAAAGGUAAGAAAUAAAGGGUCAUUGGAACCUUUUGAGUUCAUUUUAUCAUGUUGCCAAUCAUAAAGCAUUAUGAUUGAAGCUCAAAUAAAUUUAUGCUCAUAAAAAAUUAUGAGUAUGAUGAUAUUUUGACCUCAUGAAUAUGAAAGUUUUAAGAUAAAGCCCUCAAGUGUUAAAAGUGGAUAGGAGGUUAAUGUUAAGCUAUUGGAAAUCUUUUCCAUUAGUAUAAAGUUUUCGUAUCCUUCAUCCCAAUAAUGAGAAAUAUUUGUUAUGAAAGUUCAUCGAAAUAUGACUCUAUCGCUUAGUCCAUAUUUCGAGGGGGAGAGUUGAACUUCCCACUAAGAAUAAAAGAAGGAAAUACUUUAUCAGGUAUGUCUAUAUUUCAUUUCUUUAAGUAAUUCCUUUACAUAAUUAUAUUAUGAAAGAUAUUAAAAUUUAAGAUACUUAUGUAUAUGUGGGGUUUUUGUAUUAGUAUCUUGAUUUUGUUACUUAGCUUCCAUUAUAUUUUAGAAGGAAUAUAGUUAUUAAUAUUGUUAAAAAUAAUUCAUUGAAUCUAAAGUUUUAGUUAAUGACAUUAAGGGUUAUUAAGAAUGAAUGUUUGUUUUAAGACAAAAGUGAUUAAAGUAUAAUUAGACCUAUCUUUUAAUGCUAAUGGCCUAAGUUAGUCAUCUUUUAAUAAUAAGCCCCACAUAAUUGCCUCCUAACUGAGAUAUAAGUUUUAAGAAUCUUUUUCAUCUCAUGGAAUGGAAGUUUGUAAGUUUCUAACACUUAUGUUAAGUUUUCUUCUAAUGGAGACAAUGCCUAAAUAUGAUUAUGAAAUGAAAUAAUGAAAGAUACAAUUUUAUGUUCAUUAGAUAAGGUUCAUGUAAAAUAAAGAAUUAAUUAUUAUGAUAAAAUAUAUUAAAGAAAAGAAGUGCUUAUUAUUGCACAUUACUUUGAGGGUAUAAUCAUUUAGAAUGAUGAAAUAAAGUUCAAUAAGAAAUUUUGGAUUAAGUCAAUGUCUUGUUGACAAUAAGCAAUAGGGAUAUUGUAUAUUAUAAGGAAUGAGUUUUAUCCUCAGGGAAUUAAGUUUAUUCUUGGUGAUGUUCCUUAUGUUCUUUGAGAAUUAAGAUUCGCCAAGAUUGGUUCAGAAAAUGGGAGUAUUAAAUAUUACCCCCAAAAUUAUGAUUGCUCCCAUUAAAGGCAAUAAGUUUUCUUAUGUUGUGGCAGACAUAAGUGAUGUAUAUACCUAAAGUUAUGAUAUGCCCUUAAAAUUUUGAAGACUGGAAUAUCUGGCAAACAUAAGUCCAGGACUGGACUCCUGAAAAAUUGUUCAAAACAUAUUGUCUUGUCGGCAUAAGUGCUAAAGUAAUUUGUGUGCCAUAAAUAUGGCACUAAGGGAUUAUAUGCUCACUUUUAAGAAAGUCUGGUAACCAUCAAGUUAUGAGAGGUUCGGACAAUAAUAUUUCUUAGCAAAGGCGCAUUAAUGUCCACAAAAGUUGCACCCUUUGUGUGGGAGCCAUAUUGUGGAAUGGUUUCACCCAAUUCAAGAUAUGAUUAAAGAUGCAGAUUAAGUCGUGGCAUGUUUAAUCCCAAAAGGUUUUGAUAUGGGUUUAUGUCCCUAACCCAUAUUAUUUUAAGAGAAUAAGAAAUUUCUUAAAAAAUUUAUCCCGGAACUUAUUAUGUAAAGAGUGCAGUUCCACUCGAGUAACAUGUCAAAGGGUAUUGCCAGGCCCAAGACAUUGUGAAAGAAUUAUUCCAGAAUCAAACAUUACAUGUUUCAAGGCCUUAAUGAUGUAUUAAUAUUUUAAGUUUUAGUGCUCAACAAAUAAGUAUUGAAGACAUAAGUGUUGAGCAUUUUAUAAGACUAAUGUUGAUGCUCAGUAAAUGUAAGAGGUAAGUACUAAGAUAUAAGUGCUGAGUAUCAUAAUUUAAGAAGCUUGCCUUGCAAAAAUUGCUGGCAUAAAAAAACUAAUUGGCAGCCUAUUAUUUAGGGACAAAAUUAUGAUUCUGGAAAUAUAUUUGAUUUUCAAUUUUGAAGUGCGCACAUAAAGUUCAUAAGAAUAUAUGAAUGUAUAUGAAAAAUAAACUGCACUCUGGGACUAAUUCUAGCACCGUCUCCCCAUGAGCCUAAGAGGAAUCAUUUUGAUUUUGAACGGGAAUCAUGGUCACUUAGUCCUGUGGUACUUAAUUUACUGCAGUGAUUGAUUGAUCUGGUGUACCGUCUUUUGAGAAAUGAAUCCAUAAGUUUUGUAUAACGAUAAAGAGUAAGUUUUGGAGCUCCUAAGUUAAAGAAGUUCAUUUGAUAUGAGGUGGCAUGCUAUAGUAACUGGGUUCAAUGGUACGUAUAAUUGACCAUUGUAAUCCUUUUAUCUUGGUAUGUCAUUUUGUUGAAAAAUGGACUUAUAAGUUUAAGCCUUACGAUCAAGGGGGAGAAUGUUAGGAUUGUGAUGAUCUGUAAAGCUUAAACAGUAAGCUUAACAGUGAAUGUACAGUAAAAUAAAGAAUUAAGAAUUGAAAAACAUAAUGGAACGGGGUGGAAACACCCCGAACCGUCCUGAUCGGGGACGGGAACCGACCCAACUAUGUCGGUCCCCCCCGGUGAGCAACGACUAUAAAAGAAAGGGGUGAGACCCCGUUAGGGCAUCCGAUCGGCAGACGUUGUCAUCACCGGGGUAGUCACCGACACACAUACACAACCCAUACAUACACAGAGGCCAGAACAAGUACAAGAAAAGGGAGAAGAUGGGAGGUCCUAAUGACCAAGGUUUCUCGUCAGGAAACACAGGAACAGUCGCCAUGGCCAUUGUACAGAUUCCAAUGAUCGGAUUAGGGGUGCUUUUGAUGGACAAGGUUGGAAGGAGGCCACUUUUGAUGGUAAAAUAAUUAUACUUGGAACUUGAAAGUCAGUAAUGAAUUAUGACCACAGUAAUAUUUAUGCUGC